rnacentral:rRNA from 1 species
AUUGAACGCUGGCGGCAGGCUUUACACAUGCAAGUCGGACGAGUGGCGUACGGGUGAGUAACGUAUCGGAACGUACCGAGUGAUGGGGGAUAACUAAUCGAAAGAUUAGCUAAUACCGCAUAUUAUUGGCGCGGCCGGUAUGGUAGUAGCUGGUGGGUGGGGUAAAGGCCUACCAAGGCGACGAUCAGUAGCGGGUCUGAGAGGAUGAUCAGCCACACUGGGACUGAGACACGGUCCAGACUCCUACGGGAGGCAGCAGUGGGGAAUGUUGGACAAUGGGCGAAAGCCUGAUCCAGCCAUGCCGCGUGUCUGAAGAAGGCCUUCGGGUUGUAAAGGACUUUUGUCAGGGAAGCGGUACCUGCAGAAUAAGCACCGGCUAACUACGUGCCAGCAGCCGCGGUAAUAC